AGCCUGGACUGAGCUGCUCCUGAGUUUCAUGGACUACCCAUGGGACCUUGAAUUCACCUGCCACCUCUGCCUCCUGAGGGUGUUAGGGGCCCUGGGAUCCACGUGUCUACUUGAAGACAGCUACAGGAGACAAAGUUUGCAGUAGGCCUCGAACCAACAUCCCGGGUAACCGGGUGGCUGAAGGACAGGUGACGUGUCCCUACCUCCCCCCCUUCCCUGCCCGAGGCUCCGGCAUCCACCGUCUUGCCUUCCUGCUCUUCAAGCAGGACCAGCCGAUUGACUUCUCUGAGGACGCACGCCCCUCACCCUGCUAUCAGCUGGCCCAGCGGACCUUCCGCACUUUUGAUUUCUACAAGAAACACCAAGAAACCAUGACUCCAGCCGGCUUGUCCUUCUUCCAGUGCCGCUGGGAUGACUCCGUCACCUACAUCUUCCACCAGCUUCUG
rnacentral:lncRNA from 1 species